CCUACGGGAGGCAGCAGUAGGGAAUCUUCCGCAAUGGACGAAAGUCUGACGGAGCAACGCCGCGUGAACGAUGAAGGCCUUCGGGUCGUAAAGUUCUGUUGUUAGGGAAGAACAAGUGCUAGUUGAAUAAGCUGGCACCUUGACGGUACCUAACCAGAAAGCCACGGCUAACUACGUGCCAGCAGCCGCGGUAAUACGUAGGUGGCAAGCGUUGUCCGGAAUUAUUGGGCGUAAAGCGCGCGCAGGCGGUUUCUUAAGUCUGAUGUGAAAGCCCCCGGCUCAACCGGGGAGGGUCAUUGGAAACUGGGAAACUUGAGUGCAGAAGAGGAAAGUGGAAUUCCAAGUGUAGCGGUGAAAUGCGUAGAGAUUUGGAGGAACACCAGUGGCGAAGGCGACUUUCUGGUCUGUAACUGACGCUGAGGCGCGAAAGCGUGGGGAGCAAACAGGAUUAGAUACCCUGGUAGUCCACGCUGUAAACGAUGAGUGCUAAGUGUUAGAGGGUUUCCGCCCUUUAGUGCUGAAGUUAACGCAUUAAGCACUCCGCCCGGGGAGUACGGUCGCAAGACUGAAACUCAAAUGAAUUGACGG
rnacentral:rRNA from 1 species